AGUGAACGCUGGCGGUAGGCCUAACACAUGCAAGUCGAACGGCAGCACAGUAAGAGCUUGCUCUUACGGGAGGCGAGUGGCGGACGGGUGAGGAAUACAUCGGAAUCUACUUUUUCGUGGGGGAUAACGUAGGGAAACUUACGCUAAUACCGCAUACGACCUACGGGUGAAAGCAGGGGAUCUUCGGACCUUGCGCGAUUGAAUGAGCCGAUGUCGGAUUAGCUAGUUGGCGGGGUAAAGGCCCACCAAGGCGACGAUCCGUAGCUGGUCUGAGAGGAUGAUCAGCCACACUGGAACUGAGACACGGUCCAGACUCCUACGGGAGGCAGCAGUGGGGAAUAUUGGACAAUGGGCGCAAGCCUGAUCCAGCCACACCGCGUGGGUGAAGAAGGCCUUCGGGUUGUAAAGCCCUUUUGUUGGGAAAGAAAAGCAGCAGGUUAAUACCCCGCUGUUCUGACGGUACCCAAAGAAUAAGCACCGGCUAACUUCGUG
rnacentral:rRNA from 1 species